AGAAUAAGUGCAAAAAGAACUUUGUUUCCCAGAAUGCCUUGUUUUCUCAGGCGGUAGUGAGCCAAUCAGCGACACGGAUAUACCGUACAUAAAGGAAAUCCAGCGCGCGUUUCUUUCUUUGGCUUCCCUUGUUGUGCAGUAUGAUGACUCCUGGCCUGAGAAGACUAUGGGCUACGCCGGAAUUGAGGCCACGCACUGGCGAAGAUGUGGUCCAUGCAUUGGGCUCCUGGGCCUGCUUUACUGGCCACAUCCAGUUGGUAUGAGCUGCUCGUGGUCCUAGAGAUGGCAGUUUGGGCCUUGGUUCAGGUCCAGACAGAUUCCAGAGAGCCUGCCUGCAGUGGGGGCCUAGGCAAAGAGUUCGCAGACAAGCCCCUGGUGGUUGGGCCAGCCUUUCAUGAGCUCAGCACCUGGGGAAGGGCCGUGAGGGUCCAGUGCAUCAUGGAUCAUGUGGCAGUGGAAGGCAGGGGGCUGGGUUGACCCCCAAUUACUGAGGCUGGCUUUAAGGACAUGGACUUCCCUCCUUGGUUCGGGAUUCUGGUGCUGCUGCCUUCUGGAGUCGCCCCACAUCCCCACAGCAGCGUGAGCAUGAUGGGACUGAUCUGCUGGGGCUGUGCUGGAUUACUGCAGGGUUUGUGGGUGGUUUGCUGUGAUCCAGAUUCCUAGGUGUGGAGGGCUAAUGUGACUGGAGUGAGACCACAGCAGCUAUGGUGCGCUGAACACAGACCAGCCCUUCAGAGACUCAUUUCCCUCUGUUAGUCUGACUGUAUGCUAUACUUGUGACAAACCUUAUCUGCUGUUUGUGGAAGCAGUUGUAUACUUAUCUGCCAUUAAAGUAAUCAUGUCAAUCUA